UUCAUAGUGGCAUUGAUGGGUACAGCCGCCUCGUUGUAUUUCUCCGUGCUUCCAGCAACAAUCGCAGCAGUACUGUCAUGGAUUGCUUGAUGAAUGCUGUCUCCAGACAUGGCGUUCCCUCCAGAGUUAGGACGGACCAUGGAGGAGGAAACAACACCGUCUGCUUGUUGAAUACUACUUCUACAAACGAGGCUACACUUGUGGCAGCACCUAUUCCUGUGGCACCCCAUCUUCUGCACCACUUCUUGUGGCCUCCCCUCCACCUAUACCACUUCCUGUGGCCUCCCCUCCACCAUUCCAUGAGGCUUGUCACCCACCUUCACCAAACUCUUCUGUUGAUGUUGGUGAUGACAAUGAGUAAGUCAUCCCUGUAAAUAAUUAAAUGUCUUAUUACAGAUGAAUUGUGGGAAGUAUCUGAACUUUGUUAUUCUGAAUGUCUCUCUUUGGUGUUGACCUCCAAACACUGCUGAAAAUAAAGAGAUGCCAACCAAAUGAACGUGAUGAGGGACAACAUUUAUGAUUGUGCAAUGAGAGGCUUUAAGAGAGCCCCCUUUAAUCCGGAGGCAAAAAUAGACAUGGUUUUUAGGGAUGCUUACGGAAAAGGGGCAGCUGAUGAGGGUGGUCCCUCAAGAGAAUUUCUCCAGCUGCUAAUGAGUGCCAUUCAUUCCUCUGCAAUAUUUGAGGGACCUGAUUGACAAAAAUGCCUUUCUUGCAACUCUCAAGGUGAGUUACACUUUUACACCAACAAAGACACGUUUGUUUAUGGCAAUAUAUAUGACUUGAGUAAGACAUUUGAUUUUUGUAUGUAAUGUGUCCUUUAUUUACUGUACGUCUUCUGUGUGACUGCACUCUGAUAGCGUAUACAAGCAGGUGUGCCGCAUGAUUGCUGUCUGUCUGGUACAUGGGGGUGUAGAGCCACAUUUUUUCAGAGAGGCUAUACAGUCAAGUGUUUGGCCUAAAACCUCCUGUGCCAGAACUGAAAGAAAUUGUGGAAUAUGACUUCAGCGAGAAGUUGGAGAAGGUAAGUACUUUAUACUGUGGUGGAUGUUAUGUUACUGUUAAUUUGCACUAAGUUUGAUAACAUUUUGGGUUAUAGUUCACUUUUCCACAUGGAUUUGGUUUAUUUUUGUUGGCAGUCAAUCUUUAAGGGUAGUGAUAAUCAGUUUAUUGUUUUGCUAAUUUGUCCCAAAACACAGUUCAAUAAACAAUCUAAGAUCCAGUUAGCACUGUUGACGAGGCACAGGAAGUGGUCAUGUUGGGUCCAGUGCAAUACAUUCGUACAUUGGAGAGGGAUGCCCUGGUGGAGUCAGCCACAAAGUUCUACUUAGAAAGCAGGAUACGGGAUCCUCUUGAGUAAUUCAAAGAGGGUCUGGAGUGUCUAGGUCUCCUGCCUUACAUGAAUAGACACUCAAGCCUCUUCAGAGGCUUUUCAUCUACGCUGAGAAACCUCUUUUGGCCAAAGACAUAGCUUCCCUCUUCAAAGCAGAGCGCUGCCCACCUGGUACCAAUCAAAGAGCAAUAGAGAGAGAAGAGUCAUUGUUUCUGGAGGGACUGACUUCUGGAGGUGGAAGAGGGGAACACAUACCCUUUAACCAUGGAGGUUUUCAUUUUCACAUCAGGGGCUUCAGCAUUCCUAGGCUGGGAUUGCCAGUGGAGCCACAGCUACAGUUCUCUGCAACCGCACGGCAAACCGCCAAGUCUAGGUCCAAGAGGCUUCUA